GAUGAACGCUGGCGGCGUGCCUAAUACAUGCAAGUCGAGCGAACAGACGAGGAGCUUGCUCCUCUGACGUUAGCGGCGGACGGGUGAGUAACACGUGGAUAACCUACCUAUAAGACUGGGAUAACUUCGGGAAACCGGAGCUAAUACCGGAUAAUAUAUUGAACCGCAUGGUUCAAUAGUGAAAGACGGUUUUGCUGUCACUUAUAGAUGGAUCCGCGCCACAUUAGCUAGUUGGUAAGGUAACGGCUUACCAGGGCAACGAUGCGUAGCCGACCUGAGAGGGUGAUCGGCCACACUGGAACUGAGACACGGUCCAGACUCCUACGGGAGGCAGCAGUAGGGAAUCUUCCGCAAUGGGCGAAAGCUUGACGGAGCAACGCCGCGUGAGUGAUGAAGGUCUUCGGAUCGUAAAACUCUGUUAUUAGGGAAGAACAAAUGUGUAAGUAACUAUGCACGUCUUGACGGUACCUAAUCAGAAAGCCACGGCUAACUACGUG
rnacentral:rRNA from 1 species